rnacentral:lncRNA from 1 species
CACUGAUUGCAUGCGUGUAUAGUGGUAUGUAUAGUUCGGAUUUUAUGAAACCCACUUAGGGUUUGAGAUUAAUCCGUUGAUUUUGCUUCGGUUUUGAUUGAUUUGCUUCGUGUUUAUGUGCUUAAACAUGAAAACCCGGCAGAAUUUGUGAUUGGAGACCCGGUUUGGGCACCUCCGAAUUCUGCCGCCGCCGGUGAUGAGCUCCGGCGAGCCGGCGGUGCUCGACAAUGAUGAAGAUGAGUCUAAACACUCUUGUUUCACUAGUACUAGUUAUAAAUUCGAUUGGAUGUUGGAUUUUGCUAAGGUUUUGUAGAUUUUUGAAUGGGUUUAAUUAGUUUGAUUAUGUGUAAUUGAUGUUUGAUUAAGUGUUUUGUGUUCAUAUGAGAAGUAUACAUUGGUAUUGUGUGUUCUCAUUUUUGUUCGGAGUAAAAUCGAGUGGCUGCUGUUAAUCAGUUCGUUCAGUGUGUAUACGAACUCGGAUUUUAAAACAAAUGACAUAUUUGAAUUCCUUGCGAAAAAAUAGCUGGGAUAGGCUCUUGAAUCAUGUUAAUCGGAUUAAAAAUGAAUGAGUUAUAGGCGGUCAAACUUUGGCCAUGGCAGUUGACUUCGAGGAGAGAGAAAUUCUGGUUGAUGUGAUGAAGAAGAUGAUGAUGUGGCGAGCUGUCAUUGGCUAGAAUAUUGAAAUCAGUAUUUAAUAUAUUUGAAGGGUUAAAUGAAGGAGUUUGAAGAAGCGUUUAAUAUGAAAAUUUAAGUAAAUGGACUUCCGGAUUUAUUGGAAUAGAAAGAUUUUGGUUUUGAGUUACAAAAUUUUAAUUUAUAGUUUUGGUAUUAGUAAAUGGUGAAAAAUGUGACAAUACUGUUGUUGGCUGGUUUUGAAUGAUGCAUAUAUAUACGUAUAUUCUUCGCAAUAGAAAUUUUACUUGAUUAUGAUGUUGUUUUUGGUUGUUGGUAUCGGCUUGAGUCCGACUGGAAGUUGAUAAAACAAAGUAGGUGCUGCCAGAAUUUUUAUAUAUAAUAAUAAUAAUAAUAAUAAUUUCUAGAGACGCAUCUAUGUAUUUUAUUAACUUACCUGUUUAUAAUAUAUUAUGUGACAAAUGUGAUUAUUUGUUACGUGUUACAGUUAUAUGUGAUUAUGUCAUGCGUAUUUGUAUGAAGUUUAUAUACGAGUAAAUGACACGCGAAUCGAUGGGGUAGAUUAGUUUAGACGUUUUAAGUGAAUGCUAAGUAUUGAAAGGGAUACUAAAGUGAGCGUUAUUACGUGUGUAGAUUCGAAAGACGAGGUCGCGAAGCUUAGGAUAGGAAAGGCUCCAUUAGGUGACAGUUAGAGGAUUGCUUUUUCAAGUGGAAAACGAGUUGAGGCAAGUAACUUUCCCCUCUAUCUCUUAAGCAACUUAUUGAUAAAUGAUGAUAAGUACUGUCACCCCUGAACUACCUUUUGAAUUAUGAAAGCCUGAUUUCCUUUAUCAUUCAAUAUAUUGUCUCUUCUGUAUCCGGUAUAUUCUUAUCUUGAAAUACCUAUCUUUUGAUCGAAUGAUAUUUUCUUUCCAUAACUUGACCACCCCAAGUAAAUGGAAUUUGAUUCUGUAAAUGAAACUAAGAAUGAUUUUAGACUUGCAAGUGAUUGCAAGUGUUCUAAUGAUUUGAAAGGUUGGCAAGGUUUUUGAAAAAAAAAGAUAUUUCCUUUAAAGAAGAAAGUUUUUCCAAUUUAAUGGUUUUCCACGGAAUUCUAUAGAUUGGAGGCGUAAGUGGUCGAGUAACGCCGGUCCAGCUAAUUGAUUAUGAAGACCAGUGAGGGCUGGCAUUUGAAAGACUAAAUAUAAUGUCUUUCCGGGUACCCUAUUCACGUCCAGAGGGACUGUAAAGUCCGGUAUGGGGAUUGUACGUGGCUGAUCACCUGUGCAAUCCAGAGCGUUAUACACUCCAAUCGAGUAAAAUGUUUUAUGAAAAGAAUUGUCCAGGUGUUGGACUGUUUUGAAAAUGAGAUAUUUUUGUGAUGGAAAAUAAAGUUUUGAUGAAAGGAUUGAUUUGAAGGAAAAUGUUAUGAAAAGGGUAAUUUUACGAAAGUUUUGAAAAGAGGAAUGUUUUAUGAAUUAUUCAUUUACAAAAAUGGUUUUUAUGUAAUGAUCCUGAACUUUGAAUCUCUAUUAUGACCUUUGUAACUUUAGUCUAUAAUCGAAAACUCUCCAUCUUAUUUUGUUGAAUAGUUUAAUUUAUUUGUUCAUUAUAGUUGGUUUUUAUGUAAUGAUCCUGAACUUUGAAUCUCUAUUAUGACCUUUGUAACUUUAGUCUAUAAUCGAAAACUCUCCAUCUUAUUAUGUUGAAUAGUUUAAUUUAUUUGUUCCUUAUAGUUACUUGCUGAGCUCUGCUCUCUUAUGCUAUGACUGAAGCUCCUACCAUCUACCAUGAAAUAGUUGUUGUUUAUCUAACCCUGACAGCUAAGCAAGAGGAAGAUGGCGAGUCCUAGGUGCUCAGUUCGUUAAACUGUUUACAUCCCCCUCUCUGUUUCGUUAGAUUACUUUACCAGUUCAGGUAGAGGACGCUUUGGAUAGUCAGUGGGGAGUAAGUAUGUUAGUCAAGAUACUGUUUUAUCUUUGCCUAGUGAUGUUCAGUUGGUUAAUUUGUCGUAAACAGUACCUUUGAGAUGUUUUAUAUAAUUCCAAGUCGGAAUUAUGGUUGAUGCUAUUUAUUAAGGGUUUGUAAUAAGUUUAUAACUUAUUAUUUUGGUUAGUAGUUGUAACUUGUUUCAUACCAUCACCUGUUAAAGAUCCUUGUGGUGUAAAGGGGUUGAGUAUUUAUAUUGCUAAAUCCAGGUUGUGCAUGUUAAAGUUGAUUUGUGACUCCUCAAUCUAGACCCCGGAUUGGGAGGGCGGCACAGUUGGUAUCAGAGCCACAGGUUUUGGUCCCUGAAACAAGUUAUAAUAGGCAGAUCUUAGGAACACUACAUAAGUUAAGUGUGUGUUCCCAACCCAUAUAGGGUUCAGUUGAGAUUAUUCGAUAUAGUCUUAACGAGUUAAGUUUAUAAGAGUAGAAUAGCGUGUCUGAGUUAAAAUCAAAGACGUUCAGAUGAGUGCCAUUUGACUUGUGAUGCCAAGGCCUGGCUUAUGAGGUGUAUAAGUUGUCAAGGUGGAUGUUGAUCAAUUUAUCUCUAUACCAGUAGGAUUGGAGUUACUUGAAUUGGUGCCGAGUCACCAAGAUGACCUAUAUUAUCCUAGAUCUGUUUUGGUGGUUGCAGUAGUUGGUUUGCAGCGGGUGACACUUAUGGAAUACUUCUCAGUUUUUCACCUUAUUUGAUCAUGUAGCCACAUUAUUGUGUUCUCUUUCAUUUCAACUUGUUUUUGUAACCCUGAUUAUCGUUAUAACUACCUAUGCAUUUCUUUUCAUAACAUUGUUGCACCAUACUGUUCCUUCCACAUCAGUUUCAGAUAAUACCUAUGCUUAAUACUUAGUUUCAGAAUAAUACCCUGAACUCUUACCUUAUGAUUUCUAUGAUAUGGCAAGCAACUUAUGUGGUAAUAGAGCUGCAUGUGCUAAAAGUUUAAAAUGUUGGAAUUAUAUAUAUAAGGUGGAUAAGAAGAGAUUGUUUUAUGAUAUAUUGCCAUGUUAGCAUGUUGCCUAAUAGUAGGUUGCUUGUCUAUUCAUCAGAAAAAUGUCAACCACACCAACAAACCCAGAUGAGGGUAAUCAGAAUCAAGGUCGGGAUCAAGAAGACCCUACCAUGACUCAAAUUCUCCGUCUUCUUCAGCUGCAAACCGCUGCUUUGAACCAGCAGCCCCAAGCUCCUCGAGUCGGAAGCUUUAAAGCUUUCCAAUCCCUCCACCCACCUGAAU